AUUGAACGCUGGCGGCAUGCCUUACACAUGCAAGUCGAACGGCAGCACGGGAGCAAUCCUGGUGGCGAGUGGCGAACGGGUGAGUAAUAUAUCGGAACGUGCCCGGUCGUGGGGAUAACGUAGCGAAAGCUACGCUAAUACCGCAUACGAUCUACGGAUGAAAGCGGGGGAUCGCAAGACCUCGCGCGAUUGGAGCGGCCGAUAUCAGAUUAGGUAGUUGGUGAGGUAAAGGCUCACCAAGCCGACGAUCUGUAGCUGGUCUGAGAGGACGACCAGCCACACUGGGACUGAGACACGGUCCAGACUCCUACGGGAGGCAGCAGUGGGGAAUUUUGGACAAUGGACGCAAGUCUGAUCCAGCCAUUCCGCGUGCAGGAUGAAGGCCCUCGGGUUGUAAACUGCUUUUGUACGGAACGAAAAGGUCUCUAUUAAUACUAGGGCUCAUGACGGUACCGUAAGAAUAAGCACCGGCUAACUACGUGCCAG
rnacentral:rRNA from 1 species